rfam:Astyanax mexicanus Tnplaced_Scaffold3523, whole genome shotgun sequence.
GUAGGAUAUGGAGACAUGGUUCCCACGACCAUCGGUGGCAAGAUUGUAGGGUCCUUGUGUGCCAUCGCUGGUGUGUUGACCAUUGCAUUGCCUGUGCCUGUUAUAGUGUCCAAC